rnacentral:snRNA from 1 species
GGAUGUGAGGGCGAUCUGGCUGCGACAUCUGUCACCCCAUUGAUCGCCAGGGUUGAUUCGGCUGAUCUGGCUGGCUAGGUGGGUGGCCCCUUCCUCCCUCAAUGAUCCAUGUGCGUCCCUCCCAAAAUAAGCCAGUACAAAAUGAAGUUUUUUGCAUAAGCAAGCUUUCUUCUACCAAAAUUAUUUUAACAGAGAAAACAACAAAAGUAAAUAAAUAAAAAUUAUUUAGAAAAAAAGUUUCCUAAAUGACUUU